AAAUGACAAUAUAACUGAAAUUUUCAUUUUUGGGGAUAUUUCCCAGUUUAUAGCUUCUAUUAUAUGAUGAUGUGGGGUGAGAAAAUAGGUGACACUUAAAUAAUAUAUUCAUGUUAGAUUUCAGUCAGCAAUAUUUAUUAGAGGGCAUAAACAUAGCCUGAAAGGCACAGAGCAUUGCUUUAGGUCACUGCCAGACUUCAGUGACAGGGAACAAAUUUGUGGCAUAUGCUCAGUGUAGAUAAUCAAUAGAUUGCCAGCAUUAUAGAAGAAAGUGUUUUCUUCAAACUAGGAAUGCUUACAGGUUUGAGGAUUUUUUUGUUUUUUGGUUUUGCUUUUAAUAGUAGAAAGUCUAUGUGGGAUGAUAUUUUACCUGUUGAAGAUAAUUAGUUUCUCUCUCUUUAAACAUCCAGCAAUCACCUUGACAAUCUUCUUGAUAUGUAACUAAAUAUCCACUGUUUUGUCCUAAGAUUUUUGUGUUUUCAUUUUAAGUUUUGAGUAAUUCCUGGAACUUGUCACGAACAAUGAUUUGCCUGAUUAGUGCAUAUUUACUGGGUGAUGUUGAGAUGAUGUGUUGCCAGUCCUAGGAUAUUAGUGUAGAAUCAUUCAAAUCUAAAAGGAUGUAUCUGGAAGGAAGUGUUCAAAAUUUCUCUCUACAUUAGAUGAAAUUUCCAUUUGAGGGACUGUAAUAACGUCCCCAGAAGAAGUUCCUCUUAAAAUAGCUGGUUAUUACACUGGUGAGUGUUCAAAUCAAGCAGAACCGUAGCAUUGCCAGUACAGAAGCCCAUGGAAAUAAACUCUUAUUUGACCUUGCAGAUACUAACUUCUGACUUCAAAAACUAGGGAACUGGCAGUCAGGUAACAGAAACAUACUAGAAUUGUUUCUGCAAGAGGUUGAGAGUAGGCUGACUGUUUUAGUGCAAUUCUGACUUAAAAGACUUUGAAAACUAAUAGUCUUGUCUUUAAAUUCACAUUUCCAGCUAAGCUUUUCUCUGGAAAGUGUGCAAAUAAAAUAAUAUGGCUGACAUGAAGUAACCUGAAGAAGAAGAGUAUACGCGGACUCCAGUUAUUUUAGUUAUAAUGGUGCUGCUUUCUGCAAAGUUUGUAUUAAUAGGAUGCCAUUGUCUAAUCUUUUUUUCAGUUUAGCACAGAGGUAGCCAUGCUGUCAGAUUCAGACACACAGGGAUUAAUGGCCAAUGCUGAUGUCUCUAGGAAAAAGGCGGAGAGCCUUCUGCUCCAGAAGAUAAUCUGCUGGGAUUUUAUUGAGCCUGAAAGCUUCUUCACUCUCCUGGGCGAAGACAGGGGUCCCAAUUCUUUGUUAGUUUUAUACAGAAAUACGGAAAAGAUUGAUUCUGAUUUCAUUUGAAGACUUCUCUAAGGAGAACAUGCCCCAUUUGGUGCUAUUGACCAUUGCUGUAAGAAAGGCCUAUGGGCCCCCAGUGCUCAUCUAGUUCACAAAAGCAUUCCUGGCUGUGGAGGGCGAGUACAGUGCUACAAGUAGAAGGUAACUGAAAUUAGAAGUACAACAGUAAUGAAAUUUAAUAUAAACAUUUUUGGAAAGUGAUCAGACACUGUGCUGUGGAGGCUGUGAAAUGUGU